GGAUUACGUAUGGAUGACGUGCCCGGUACAAAUUUGGCAGCCGGUACAAAUUUGACAUGACACCGACUCCGAGCCCGUCUGCACAUUGUCUGCAGCAGCAGCAGCUGACAGAGUUUUCGAUUGGACUAGACUGAGUUUAAGGAGUUUUUUAACCCAAAGACAGUGAAGGUACAAAACUUUUAUGUCGGCCUACAGUCUAGUGUUAAGUUAUGACCAAAAUAUAUGCUGUGGUCACUCACACUAAAGCUCUCUGUGGGCGUGCAUGAACCAUCCUGUCGGCGGCUGGCUGUAAACAGUGCCGGGCCUACGAGUGAUGUAUUAAUCGCGCGACUCAACGAAUCGAUGACCAAAUUCGUUGCCAACGCUUUUAGGAAUCGAUUGUUAUCGAUUCGUUGUUGCAGCCCUAGUGUAGAAACAAUUCCAUGUAUGGAAGGGGAGAUUUGGAGGUAUCUGGUCAGGCCUUUGUCAGCCUACAAAUCCCAGAUGUGGAGACUGCAGGGAUAUCUCACGGAGAGGACACUAAAGACCCAUCUCUCAUUCAUCGAGUGGACUCAUUGGUUUGCGAAUGACCACAAAGAUGCUCCCAUGGGCAGAUUGCUGCAUGGCAUUUGCCACUUAUUCAAAUUGUAGAGGUUGAAGCAGUCUUCAUUGUGGUCACUUGCCAUAACACUGUCAUGUGUUUUAUCAAAACAACAUCAGUAACAUUUAAAUUGAGUUGAUGUGGACGGCUCUUUUUUUUUGUCCGAUUUUUUCAGUGUUCAGUGCCUGUUUGUGAGAUAUGCAUUGUUUGAAAGAUAAGCCUUUGAUUUUGUUUAAUUUUAAUAUGCCUUUCAUCAACAGUGGUUUGGGGUUUUAUAACAACAAUUAAAAUGAUUAACUACUGGUGAACGAAGUUGCAGAACAUAUAUGGUACAAGUUUGUGUUGAUUGCAUGGAAAAGGGAAUAACCAGUUAUAACUUAUAUGGUAAGAGCCUGGUAAUACCAUGGAAACAAACCAGGCUUCCAUUUACACUACAGUUUCAGCUUACUCAGUGGUUAAAUUGUCAUGUUUUACUUAGUAACGUCGCAGAACGCACAUGGUACAAGUUGGUGUUGACUGCAUGGAAAAGGGACUUAUGUAUUACAAAUUAUAUGGUAAGAACCUGGUAAUACCAUGGAAAUAAACGAGGCUUCCUUUUACAGUACAUUUUCAGCUUACUUACUUGGUAAACUGUUGUGUUUUACUUGGUAACGUCGCAGAACGUGCAUGGUACAAGUUUGUGUUGACUGCAUG
ensembl:lncRNA